rnacentral:rRNA from 1 species
UACGUAGGGUGCGAGCGUUGUCCGGAAUUAUUGGGCGUAAAGAGCUCGUAGGCGGUGUGUCGCGUCGGUCGUGAAAACUUGGGGCUUAACCCUGAGCUUGCGGUCGAUACGGGCAUCACUGGAGUUCGGCAGGGGAGACUGGAAUUCCUGGUGUAGCGGUGAAAUGCGCAGAUAUCAGGAGGAACACCGGUGGCGAAGGCGGGUCUCUGGGCCGAUACUGACACUGAGGAGCGAAAGCGUGGGUAGCAAACAGG